GCCAGAGAGUGGUGGGGCCACAUGGAAUCUGUUACAGAGAGUGGAGUGGGAUAGUGGCCAUUGUCGUGACUUGCCAGAGAGUUCGGACCUGAUGGCUGAAGCUCGGCUAGGACGUUUGAUGGAGCAGAAUGGCUCUCUAUCUCUGUAAUCUAAGAGAAGCUCGGAUGUUUCCAAGGUUGCUGAUGAGUCUACUGUUGUCGGAUGUCUAGAGCGCUGAUGCUGCAGGUGGAAGUCAUCUGUUGUAGAAGCUCGGACAGAGACUUUCUGUUGGAGAAGUUUGAUUUCAUGAGGAAUCCGACAGAGAGUCGACCGACAGUGGAGUUCGGAUGGCGUUGUGGAGGUUCGUCCGCUGGAGGAGUUUUGAGGACACUGUGGAAGGUCGAAUGUUGGAAGAGUUCUGGAUUCAAUUAUGUUGUAGAAGUUCGGACGGAGUCCGGCUCUCGUAGGAGUCUGGAUGAAGUUCGCUUAUUGUAGAAGCUCGAUUGAAGAUCAGUUGUCGUGGAAGCUCGGAUGGAGAUUUCUUAUUGUAGAAGCUCGGAGUAGAGAUUCGGCUGGUGGAGCCUGUCCCGUUGUAGAAGUUCGUCUGUGAUCC
rnacentral:lncRNA from 1 species